ACCAGGCUGCCGUGAAAGCGCAAGCCAAUGCGCUUACCGUUGAGGUUGGCAGCGAGCAGUAUCAUACCACAGGGUAGGGAUACUGCGGGAUCCGCCGGGUAUACCGGCAAA
rnacentral:sRNA from 1 species